UUUGUGUUCCUUCACUGGACACAGGAUUAAAGGCACGCCUUACAGAUCUCCACACCUGUAAGUUUUGGGAAUCAUGGAGGCUGACUAUGAAUAGAAUGCUUUUGGCUCUUGGAAGACUUCCAGCAGGGCUUAGGCACUGACCAUACUUCUGAGCCUUUUAUGCUCUGUGAAAUGUGUUUUUCUCAGCAUCUCCAGCUCCAGGCAACACGGAUCAUGAUAGAUCUGGAUGGAGAUAAUGUCAAGGGAGGACAAGCACUGAGAAGGGUUAUACAUUCCUAAAAGCAUGGGAAAUAGCUGCCAAUCACCCUGAAGUAAGAGACGAAGAGACUGCUUGCAGAAAAGGACAUGGCUGCAGUGCAGGCCAGUGGAUGAUCAAAGCCAUCUCCUCUUCACGUUUCUUGUCUUCAGGGAUUCAAGAGAGCAAAGAACGAACACCAGCCCUACAGAGAGGCCAUCUGAAACUGCGUCUUGGAGGCUUUGUAUUAAAAUCUUUAAGUUAAUGUUGAAGAACCACCAACAUAUUGUUCUGCUUACCAUGACAUCAGCCACACCUCACAAACAUCCCAAAUGUGUUGGAUAGUGCUAUGUGUCAGCAAUCAGCAGUUGCCGGCAAUUGCACAAGUCAGCCUCUAACAUCAACUAGGGAGAAAGCCAGGGAACAAACCGAAGAUAAAGAAACAAGACACAAAUACUUCGAGUGCACAGCUGUUUGACAGAAGAGCCCAGAAUAGAGACUUUCCUACUGAGUCGUGACAAGAGGGAAGAGAAAGAUAAAGUCAAAAAGGAAGAGAAGAUGAUGAGGUUGAGGAAGCUUGUGUUAAUAAUUCAUUCUCUAUUUGUGUUGUUCAGAAUUUGAGAAUGGUUUUGGAUAAAUUAUUCAUGGCGGAAGGUAAAGAAAACAUCAGAUGCCAUAGUACAUCUGAUCUGACCCUUUUGAGAAGCACAAUUUCCUGGGUCCAGUGCAGUAUAAUGAAAUUAGUCCAUCAAGGAUCUUUGAAUAUAUUCACUGAUCAUCCUCUGUAGACAUCCUGACAUAGCCUAGAAAAUAAAGUCAGCAUCCUCCUCAAGUGAUUAUUAUGCAUCCACUUGCAAAAUAAGCCUGAAGAAAUGUCUGCUUCCCGAAGUUCGCUGAUUACUCCUCUCUGACACAUUGGCUAGGUGAAUAUGAAACACUGGGUUUCUGUACAUGACAAAAACAAGAGACUGUGCCUCCCAGGGUGAGAGGACAUUGGUGAAAAUAAGCUAGGGACUCAUUCCUGAUGAUUGUACUGUUUCAGCACCUAGUACACUCCCAUAUAAUUUGUAGGGACUUACAAAAAGGCUUGAUGAAUGAAGGG
rnacentral:lncRNA from 10 species